GAUGAACGCUGGCGGCGUGCCUAAUACAUGCAAGUCGAGCGAACAGACGAGGAGCUUGCUCUUCUGAUGUUAGCGGCGGACGGGUGAGUAACACGUGGAUAACCUACCUAUAAGACUGGGAUAACUUCGGGAAACCGGAGCUAAUACCGGAUAAUAUAUUGAACCGCAUGGUUCAAUAGUGAAAGACGGUUUUGCUGUUACUUAUAGAUGGAUCCGCGCCGCAUUAGCUAGUUGGUAAGGUAACGGCUUACCAAGGCAACGAUCCGUAGCCGACCUGGGAGGGGGAUCGGCAACCCUGGACCUGAGACACGGUCAAGACUCCUACGGGAGGCAGCAGUAGGGAAUCUUCGGCAAUGGGCGAAAGCCUGACGGAGCAACGCCGCGUGAGUGAUGAAGGUCUUCGGAUCGUAAAACUCUGUUAUUAGGGAAGAACAAAUGGGUAAGUAACUGUGCACAUUUUGACGGUACCUAAUCAGAAAGCCACGGCUAACUACGUG
rnacentral:rRNA from 1 species